GGCCUCCUGGUGCUGCCCACAGGCUGUUCUCACACCGACCGACCGUACAGAACUGGGAGGCAGCGUAAGCCCACCCACACCCCUCAGCUCAGGCCCGCGGCCUGGUCUGUACUGUGAAUGGGGAGACAUGG
rnacentral:snoRNA from 1 species